rnacentral:rRNA from 1 species
GACGAACGCUGGCGGCGUGCUUAACACAUGCAAGUCGAACGAAGUGGCGAACGGGUGAGUCACGCGUAAUCAACCUGCCCUUCAGGGGGGGACAACAGUGGUACAAGACUGCUCAUCCCACAUGCUGAAGGGGGGGAUCUAGUCGGAUUAGCUAGUGCGCGGGGUAACGGCACACCAAGGCGAUGAUCAGUAGCCGGUCUGAGAGGAUGAUCGGCCACAUGGGGACUGAGACAAGGCCCAGACUCCUACGGGAGGCAGCAGUGGGGAAUCUUCCGCAAUGGACGAAAGUCUGACGGAGCAACGCCGCGGGAGUGAUGAGGGUCUUCGGGUUGUAAAGCUCUGUUAAUCGGGACGCGGUACCGAACUAGAAAGCCACGGCUAACUACGUGCCAGCAGCCGCGGUAAUAC